AUGAUAUGAGUAAAUGUGGGGACCCAGGCGUACAAUUAAGUGUUCCAUGUUGAAUUAAAGCCAAGGUGAUGUCUAAUUUGGGAACUGGUCACCAUAGCCUUGCCCAACCAACCUGAGCCCAGAGCUUAAGUUUUCUUCUGCCUCCUUAUCAGGUGAAAAGACUUGGGUUUCCCCUGCAUCCCAUUUGAUCAAUUUUGAGAUGGGAGAGCUCACAUUUGGGACCAAUUUCCAGAGAGAUUCCAACAAGCUAUAAAAAUGAAGGGAGGAAACUCACCCUUCUUCCCUGCUUGAAUCAAACCUAGGGGAGUGGGUACCAGGUUGCAACUAGACCCCUCCCUUCUGGUGUCACAAGCAAGAACCUUGGCAAAAUUAACCCAUCCUUGUUUGCUGUCUAUGGGCUCUUAGUAGUGAUCCUUCCUGCCUGACCAGGCUCCCUGGCUUGUGGUCCCUGGAUUGACAGCUGCAGUCAUUACAGCCUUCUCGGGCUGUUAGAUGACAGGACCCUGGUGCCGAACUAUCCUUGCUAGAACAGGAGCACGUCAGGAGCUAGAACAGAGCAUCAGGUGCACCUUGACAUUGUGCAGAUGAGGAAUGUGAGGAACAAGAAAAGGGGCUCUCCACACUGCCGAGACCACACUGGAGUCUCCUCCCUGAGGGUGAAGAGAGAAGGGGAGGAGUCAGCAGAGACCACUGGGGCCACUGGCAUUGGCUCAGUGGUCGCUUGUAGGCUGGACUUCUGAGCCCAGAAUUAGGCAGAGGCUGGGCCUCGAGGAUUAUGGGUCUCACCCUGAAAGCCAGUGUCAGAUCAUUCCCCACAGGAAGACGGGUCUAGGGCACACUUUGGAAAACACCCUGAAAUCACAGUUUCCUGAAGCAGUGCUGGGUCUGGACUCCCUCUCCCCUUCAAAACGUAAAGCUCUGCCACCAUCAGCAAUGACUAGAGAGGAGACCUCUCUUCAUCCUGAUUGGCUCUUGCCAAUUAAGAGCGUUUUAUUAGGCUGCUAAUUAAAGGUACUUUGUUAGCAGCAGGAGAGGCCGGGUGGGUGCCUGGUGAGACGAAAGCAGAAGCCAGGAGAAAUCGUUUUUCCUCCCCACCCCGACGGAAGCAGAGCCUCUCAGGGAACCCUCUCGGUCCCCCAGCCUCUCCCGCUGCGCCCGCCACACCCUUUGCUUUCAAUUAGUGGCUCUGAGGGGAGUGAGGUCAUUACCAAGCCCAGGUGGAGAGCCCUCCCCUGCCUCAGGCCAAAUAGGCCUUGGGUAGGGGAGGCUGUCCCAGUCCCCACGUGCCUGUGUACCUCCUUUGGUGCUUUGGAGUCAGGGCCCAAGAAAGGAGAAGCCCACAGGGUUUCCUAGUCUCUGAAGCAAAGCCUCAGGCCCUGGUCCUUUGCUGCCCCCACAGGCCCAGCGCCUGUCUGUCACCAUCCUAUUGGGAGGCACCAAGGCGCCCUGUGACCGGAUGCUGGGUUCCCGAGCUCCGAGUGGGAACUUUAGAGAGCAUCAUCUCCUCGCUGAUGCCUACAAG
ensembl:lncRNA